UGAGGAAAUGUUUCAGUGUCUUAGAUAUCU
rnacentral:piRNA from 1 species